UACGUAGGUGGCAAGCGUUGUCCGGAUUUACUGGGCGUAAGGAGCGCGCAGGCGGUCGCUCAAGUCGCGUGUGAAAGCCCCCGGCUCAACUGGGGAGGGUCACGCGAUACUGAUCGACUGGAAGGCAGGAGAGGGUAGUGGAAUUCCCGGUGUAGUGGUGAAAUGCGUAGAUAUCGGGAGGAACACCAGUGGCGAAGGCGACUACCUGGCCUGUUCUUGACGCUGAGGCGCGAAAGCUAGGGGAGCAAACGGG
rnacentral:rRNA from 1 species